ACUCCUACGGGAGGCAGCAGUGGGGAAUAUUGGACAAUGGGCGGAAGCCUGAUCCAGCCAUGCCGCGUGUGUGAAGAAGGCUUUCGGGUUGUAAAGCACUUUCAGCGAGGAGGAAAGGCUAUUGAUUAAUACCCAAUAGUUGUGACGUUACUCGCAGAAGAAGCACCGGCUAACUCCGUGCCAGCAGCCGCGGUAAUACGGAGGGUGCGAGCGUUAAUCGGAAUUACUGGGCGUAAAGCGCGCGCAGGCGGCUAUUUAAGUGGGAUGUGAAAGCCCUGGGCUCAACCUGGGAACUGCAUUCCAAACUGAACAGCUAGAGUGUGUCAGAGGGUGCUGGAAUUUCCUGUGUAGCGGUGAAAUGCGUAGAUAUAGGAAGGAACACCAGUGGCGAAGGCGAGUGCCUGGGAUAACACUGACGCUGAGGUGCGAAAGCGUGGGGAGCAAACAGGAUUAGAAACCCCAGUAGUCC
rnacentral:rRNA from 1 species